rnacentral:ncRNA from 1 species
CGCCUGGCGUACUGCGAGAUCUCCAGCCGCUUUCGAGUUCCUGGCAUCCCUUCCCCGGUGCCAGGCGCGCGAUCCGAUCGGGGGGCCGUUGCCGGAAGGCGGGCGG